UGAUGACUAACAUGUCCACGAGAAGGAAUUUCAUAUAUGAAUGGAAUGCCGAUUGCCCUGUCCAAAACCCCAGUGUUAGGACCAUAUUAACCAGCAAGAAAGAAAAAAUUGCCUAUAUACUUGUCAGAUUUGCAGUAGUGAGGGGACAACAGCACAAGUACAGUAUGAUUAACUGCAUCAUCAACAGUGCCAUGGGCAGCACCAAAACCUAUAAUUGUGACAAUACAUUCGGAUGUCUGCCCCAUGAACAUUCGAUGGUGCUUUCUGCAACUACCAUGUUGACCACAGGUAAUGGGGAAUCAGGGUUCAAUUUCGGAGAGGAAGCCUGAGAAACUGCCACAUCCAAGGAAGGCAGCAGGUGCGCAAAUUACCCACUCAGAACCUUCUGUGAAUAAAUAUG
rnacentral:ncRNA from 1 species